AUGCUACUCUUCUCUGUUCUUUUCUCCUCUGUUCUGGGUACACAUGCUACUCUUCCUCUGUUCUGGGUACACAUGCUACUCUUCCUCUGUUCUGGGUACACAUGCUACUCUUCCUCUGUUUCUGGUACACUGCUACUCUUCCUGUUCUGUGUACACAUGCUGCUCUUCCUCUGUUCUCUCCUCUGUUCCGGUAAACUGUGCUACUCUUCUCUGUUCUUUUCUCCUCUGUUGUACACGUGCUACUCUUCCUCUGUCCGUGUACACAUGCUACUCUUCCUCUGUUCUUUCUCCUCUGUUCUGGGUACACAUACUCUUCCUCUGUUCUGGGUACACAUGCUACUCUUCCUCUGUUCUGUGUACACAUGCUACUCUUCCUCUGUUCUGGGUACACAUGCUACUCUUCCUCUGUUCUGGUACACAUGCUACUCUUCCUCUGUUCUGGGUACACAUGCUACUCUUCCUCUGUUCCGUGUACACAUGCUACUCUUCCUCUGUUCUUCUCUCUCUGUUCCAUAUACACAUGCUACUCUUCCUCUGUUCCGUGUAAACGUGUUACUCUUCCUCCUGUUCUCUUCUCCUCUGUUCCAAUACACGUGCUACUCUUCCUCUGUUCCGUGUAAACGUUUACUCUUCCUCUGUUCUUCUCUCCUCUGUUCCAUAUACACGUGCUACUCUUCCUCUGUUCCGUGUACACAUGCUACUCUUCCUCUGUUCUUCUCUCUCUCUGUUCCAUAUAACACAUGCUACUCUUCCUCUGUUCCGUGUAAACGUGUUACUCUUCCUCUGUUUUCUUCUCCUCUGUUCCUAUACACGUGCUACUCUUCCUCUGUUCUGUGUACACAUGCUACUCUUCCUCUGUUCUUUUUCUCCUCUGUUCUGUGUACACGUGCUACUCUUCCUCUGUUCCGUGUACACAUGCUACUCUUCCUCUGUUCUUUUCUCCUCUUUCUGGGUACACAUGCUACUCUUCCUCUGUUCUGGGUACACAUGCUACUCUUCCUCUGUUCUGGGGACACAUGCUACUCUUCCUCUGUUCUGGUACACAUGCUACUCUUCCUCUGCGGUACACAUGCUACUCUUCCUCUGUUCUUGUGUACAAUGCUACUCUUCCUCUGUUCUCUCCUCUGUUCCGUGUAA
rnacentral:lncRNA from 1 species